ACGUAGGGGGCAAGCGUUAUCCGGAUUUACUGGGUGUAAAGGGAGCGUAGACGGCAGCGCAAGUCUGGAGUGAAAUGCCGGGGCCCAACCCCGGAACUGCUUUGGAAACUGUGCAGCUCGAGUGCAGGAGAGGUAAGCGGAAUUCCUAGUGUAGCGGUGAAAUGCGUAGAUAUUAGGAGGAACACCAGUGGCGAAGGCGGCUUACUGGACUGUAACUGACGUUGAGGCUCGAAAGCGUGGGGAGCAA
rnacentral:rRNA from 1 species